UCCUCGAUGCGCGCUCUCCCCUCCGCCGCCUUGGAGGGUGGAGUCAUUCUGUGAGGGGGUGAAUGCCGCCUUCCGAUCGGCGGCCGCCAUUCGGCUCCCCCCCGCCUCGCUAGAGUGUGCUAGCCCCGUCGCGUCUGGUUUGUGUGAGACAGGUGCGCGGCGUUUUAUAGCGUUUUCUCGGGCAAAAUGCCCGGGUGUUGCGUGCCACAGUGCACAAACCACUCGCGAAAUGGCUAUAGGAUGUUCAGAUUUCCGAAAGAUCCGAAAAGGCGACUCCUGUGGCUGGUAAAGAUCAAGCGCGACAAGUGGCAACCCACGGACCGUUCGUGUUUGUGCAGCGGACAUUUCGAAGAAACCGCAUUUGAGCAGAACCGUGCGGACGGCUAGAAAAAAUUGAAGCCGAAUGCUCUGCCAACAAUCUUUUCGUUCAGAGCGAUGCCUAAGCACAGGAAGCCACCAAAAGAAAGGUUUUUACCACAACGGACGCCUGCGGCCGCAGAAGAAAGUUGUUCUCUGCACAGUCAACCCCAUGCUUCUGAUACCUCAGCGACAGAAAUUCAAGAACAUGUCAACGACAUAGCUGGUAUGCAACAAACAGCAAAUCAAGAAUUGCAGCCACUACCGAGUGAUGGCACGGAGAUGUCUCGUGAUCAGAUGAGCAACUUACCUAGCCCAAGUGCCACGGCAGAAACUGAAGUUCCUACAACAGAUGAUUCUCAGCUAGUUGCAUGCCCACUUUCCGCAACCCAUGUUGAAUUGUCGGAAGAGAAGUGCGUGUGUUUCGCAUCUUUAACCAGUAUAAAUAGUUACCGACUAGCCCAAGAAGAUGCUAACUGAAGAUGUUAACGUGGCUGGCGUGGACGGUAGUAUUCUGCUGCGAACAACUCCAGCUGCUAAUGUCGCUUUAAAAAUAAAGAUUAGAGAAUAGAAAUCUGAGACCUUGACACUCCCGAUGCGAAAA